UAAAAACCCCGACUUCGGAAGGGGUGUAUUUAUUAGAUACAAAACCAAUGCCCUUCGGGGCUCUUUGGUGAUUCAUGAUAACUAUACGAAUCGCACGGCCUUGCGCCGGCGAUGGUUCAUUCAAAUUUCUUCCCUAUCAACUUUCGAUGUUUGGGUAUUGGCCAAACAUGGUUGCAACGGGUAACGGAGGGUUAGGGCUCGACCCCGGAGAAGGAGCCUGAGAAACGGCUACUACAUCCAAGGAAGGCAGCAGGCGCGCAAAUUACCCAAUCCCGACUCGGGGAGGUAGUGACAAUAAAUACUGAUACAGGGCCCUUUCGGGCCUUGUAAUUGGAAUGAGUACAAUUUAAAUCCCUUAACGAGGAACAAUUGGAGGGCAAGUCUGGUGCCAGCAGCCGCGGUAAUUCCAGCUCCAAUAGCGAAUAUUAAAGUUGUUGUGGUUAAAAAGCACGUAAUUGAACCUUGGGCCUGGCUGGCAGGUCCACGUCACCGCGUGCAAAGAUCCGGCCGGAAAUUACGCUGUGGAAAGACAUAAGAUUCAGAUGGAUUAUUAAAAAAAAGAAGAAGACAGAAAAA
rnacentral:rRNA from 1 species